rnacentral:lncRNA from 1 species
GAAGUGAGUGUUCGAUUGGGUGGGGGGGGGUCGGGUAGGGAUGUCAAUGGGUAUGGAUAUCCGAAAUUUUAUCCGAACUCGAACUCGAAUGAAACGGAUAUAUUCAAUGCUAAACGGAUAUGGAUUCGGAUAUGAAUAUCAAAAAUAGAAGUCCGAUGGAUAUGGAUUCGGAUAUAGAUUUUGACUGUACCAGACCCGAACCUGAACCGACCCGAAUCCGAAUUUAUUUUGUAUUAUAUAUAUAUAUAUAUAUAUUACUAUAUAUAUAUAUAUAUAUAUAUAUAUAUAUAUAUAUAUAUAUAUAUAUAUAUAUUUGAUUUUAUAUUUGAAUUUGUAUUUUAAAAAUUUAGAUUUAAUAUAAUAUAUUUUGAAAUAUUGAAAAAAAAAUAAUUGUUUCGAGUUCAAAUUUCGGAUUCGGGUUUAGAUAUGAAUUUUUAAAAUCCGCCGAGUUCGGGUUUGGGUCUCGGGUUUGGAGUCGGGUUCGGGUUCGGAUUUUUGAAAAUCCGCUCCGAAUCCGACCGGUUGACAUUUCUAGGGGGGAUAAGGGCUUAUCCUCCUUUAUCCUCAAACAUUUUUUGGUGGAGGGGGGAUUAGCUAACCCCACCCCCCUCCCUUGGAAUUGGGGUGGGUUAGCUAAUUCUAUCCCAAUUUAAUUUUUUUAAAAAUUUAAAUUUAAAUUUUAAAUUUAAAGAAUUUAUAAUUUGUAAUCUUAAUAUUAAAAUUUUUAAUUUUUAAAUUUUAAAUUUAUAUUUUAAUUUUUUAAAAUUUAAAGUUUGAUUUUUUAGAUUUUUAAAUUUAGAUUUAAUCUUAAAUUUAAAAUUUAAAAUUUAAAAUUUAGAAUUUUGCAUUUUCAAAUUUGAGAUUUUAAAAUUUAAAACUUUGAAAUUUAAAAUUUAACUCAAAUUGCUAUAGUAGGAACUACAGGAAGAGUUUCAAAUGCGGAGUUGAAACUACACCCAAAUUAGCCGCAGUUCCAACUGCAGCAGUUGGAGAGAGUAAUGUAAACAAAAGAUAAGCUUACCUCCUUGAUUAUUUUUGAAACUUUUUUUUUUUUUUUUUUUUUUAUACGUUGGAGGUAAUUUCACUGUCAUAUAUAUAAAAUGAUAAAAUUUUAAAAUUAAUUUUCUAUUACAUGCAACCAAACAAAUUAUUUGUAGUUACAGCAGUUUCUACUCUAUCCAGCCAAAUAGGAUGUAUAUAAUUGCAACUGUCGUAUUUUCAACGAUAUACAUCUCCAAUCACUCUGUAUUUAUAAUUACGUCUAACCAAACGGUCCCUAAGAAGAGGAGAGAAAAGAAAGGAUCGCUGAGUUCAAUAAUCGGUUAAAAAUAGAAAUUCUUUUUAUCAAUUUUUUUUAAAAAA